rnacentral:rRNA from 1 species
CCUACGGGUGGCAGCAGUGGGGAAUAUUGCACAAUGGGCGAAAGCCUGAUGCAGCGACGCAGCGUGAAUGAAGACGUCCUUCGGUGUGUUAAGCUCUAUUAAUACGGAAGUAAAUGACCGUACCUGAAUGAGUAUCCCCGUCUAGUUACGUGACAGCAGCCGCGGUAAUACGGAGGGGGCAAGCGUUAUCCGGAUUUACUGGGUGUAAAGGGAGCGUAGACGGCAGUACAAGACUGGAGUGAACGGCGUGGGCUCAACCCCCGGACUGCUGGGGAAACUCGACAGCUGGAGUGCAGGAGAGGUAAGUGGAAUUCCUAGUGUAGCGGUGAAAUGCGUAGAUAUGAGGAAGAACCCCAGUGGCGAAGGCGGCUUACUGGACUGUAACUGACGUUGAGGCUCGAAAGCGCGGGGAGCAAACAGGAUUAGAUACCCGGGUAGUC